CUCUUGCAAAACCAAUUUCCUUGUGCUGCCAAUUCAAUCAAGAGAGAGAGAGAAAGAGAAUAAAGAGGUGAAGAGGAGAAAGAAGGAGGAGAGGACAGUGGUGACUACAAGAGGGCAAAAUGUCUAAGUCUUGCAAAGGUCUAGCAAUGGAACUGGUGAAGUGGCUUAGUGAAUCUGAUUGUGUUAAGGUUGAGAAGUGAUCAUAUGGAGAAUGUGCUGGGAUGAAGAGCCCAUCAAUAUCAAGUUGACAUGAGAGCUAGGAUUCGUGGAAACAAGGGCUACUAAGUGAUGCGCAUGUUCUUUUCCAGAUUGUGAAAUCAAUUGGAUAGCAUGCACGUACUUGUAGGUUUGAACACAAAGCCUCCUACACUUAGGCAUGCAAUGUCAGCAACUAUUGGAAUUGUAAUAAUAUGGAUGUGGAAGGUAUCAGAUUCGAUAGCUACUUAACAGUUACAAUUUGUCUUAAAUUUUUUACUUUCCCAGUAAGAAUUUUUUCUUUUUCUUUUGUUCUUGAUGGGGAAGAAAACAGAACCAUGGUGAGAAACCCUUGACUGACACAUAAAUGGAAUUAAACGAUAUUUUCACAAUCUAAUCCAAAUACAUGAGGGGUGCCGCUUGUUGGCAACUCUUUGGAAGGUUGCGGCUGGUUUUGCUUUAUAAACUUUCAUGUCCCUUUUGAGUAGAUAUCCUAGUUUGUGAA